AACGAACGCUGGCGGCAUGCCUAACACAUGCAAGUCGAACGAGACCUUCGGGUCUAGUGGCGCACGGGUGCGUAACGCGUGGGAAUCUACCCUUGGGCUCGGAAUAACUCAGAGAAAUUUGAGCUAAUACCGGAUGAUGUCGCAAGACCAAAGAUUUAUCGCCCAAGGAUGAGCCCGCGUAGGAUUAGCUUGUUGGUGAGGUAAAAGCUCACCAAGGCGACGAUCCUUAGCUGGUCUGAGAGGAUGAUCAGCCACACUGGGACUGAGACUCGGCCCAGACUCCUACGGGAGGCAGCAGUGGGGAAUAUUGGACAAUGGGCGAAAGCCUGAUCCAGCAAUGCCGCGUGAGUGAUGAAGGCCUCAGGUUGUAAAGCUCUUUUACCCGGGAUGAUAAUGACAGUACCGGGAGAAUAAGCCCCGGCUAACUCCGUGCCAGCAGCCGCGGU
rnacentral:rRNA from 1 species